AACUGUCUGCAGCCAGUGACCAGAACUUCCAACAGCAACCCCCUCCCCAUCCCCCCCCUCCACACACACACACACACUUGUGCCAGGGACUGAGCGGUCCUGCCCUAUGAGGUUGGCUUUGAGACUACAUGAGAUUAGAGAGACACAUGGGGAGAAGGGCUGGCUUCAUGACACAAGUCUGGUCAAUGAGACAAAGGGGAUGUCUGCUGAGGAUUCUCAGAAAAGGCCUUGUCCUCUUCUUCUGGUCUUCAACCUAGAUGUGCUGGCUGAAGGUGACACCAAAGACCUGCUCUGCCCCCUCAUGACCUGUGACAUGGCACUACCACGCGUAGAAGGACGUUAACGCACAGAUAUAAUUAACAUGCUCCGUAUUUUCUUAUGUGCUCAACAAUAUUGUAAGAGCUGCCCUAUUUAUUGGGCCCACAUUGUGGGGUUAAUUACCAGUCAAGUCUUCAUGGAAUAAUUAUGGGGACCCAUCACUUAUAUACCUCACCCCAGUAGAGAUUCCAUUCUCCUCCAUUCUGAUAACGUUAGCUCCUGGAACAAGUUAAUGUACCUUGUCGUCAACAUAUGGUUUCUCUGCUCCUUUCCGUUUUGUGUGAAGCUGCAGACCAGAGAUGGGGUCUUCUGGAAGAAACAUCGAAGGACAUAAAGGGAUACAGGGAAUAGACACACGAUUACAGACUUCCGUAGAAUAAGCUGAUGUGACCACAGAGCAGACACCUCACUGCCGGUCAAUCCCUGGAUUCCAUCCUCCAAAAACCUCCUUCUCCCCCAGUGCUGUUCAUCCCAGUCAUCAGGACCAUCAUUCACCCUAUUGUUCAGAUCAAACCCGUGGAGUCGCCUGACUCCUGUCCUUCUCUCAUCCAAUCCACCAGCUCUGCCAUCAAAAUAGAAUCUCUCAAGUCCAAGCCA